UCUAUUUCAUUCUCUAAAGGUUGAAUCCUAGAUAUAAAACUCAAGAGCUAUUGGUGCCUGUUUUCUGUGACUGGGCCAAAGCCAUGAGAAUAAUGAAGCCAACAGACAGCAAAAGCAGUGAUGAGAGCAAAAGAUAGUUUUGAUGAUAUUUAGUUCUCCUUUUAGUUGUUUGAGACCCAGGUAUAUUCCUUCUUUUCCCAUAGUAUGAUUGUACAAUUUAUGCAUGAGAUAUACCAACAUACUUCCAAUAAUUCCUCUUUUUCCUUUCUUGUUUAAGUUGGUUGAAAUUGGUUUCUGAGAUUUACAAUUAAAGUAUUCCAAACUAUCCUGUCACUGCUUGCUUCUAUUGCCUUUUCUGUGACUAUUAUGAAAUGUAAAACUCUGGCCAUUAUAUACUUCUUUCAUCUCUCUCUCUCUCCAACUCUCUCUCUCUCUAUCUCUACCUCUGUCUCCAUCCUUUGGACCUUUACACAUGUGUUUUUAUAUACUUGGACUAUUCUUUCUGAUUUUUCUUUAAAAAAGCAUUCUGACAGCCCAAGCCUAGAGUUUAUACUCCUUCUAUGAUCUACCAUAGCAUCAUAUAUUUAUUCCCAGUGUAGCUUGAGCGACUAGUCUUGCAUCUCCCUAUUUGUCUCUUUCACUGUUGUAUUUUUUCUUAUUUACAACAGCAUUCUUGGUGCCUAACACAAUGCCUGAUAUAUAAACAGACGGCAACUGAAUAAAUGAAUGAAUGAACAAAUAGAACUGUUUUGUUGGGGACCAAAGCAGAACUAAGAGUUUUUCCAUGAAAUUUGUGCCACUGCCAAAUGAAUUUGCAACAUUACAUGAACACUGCCAAAUAUUCUUCAUAUAAAUGGAUUCUUGACAGAAACAAAGAAGGAGCAAAGAGGAAAACCUUACGCAGGGAGGAAUUUCAAAGAAGACAUCUCUAAAUUGAAAUGAGUUGUCAGAUACUGAUGAUUUCAUAUAACACCCUAUCAUAUGAUAAUGUGUGAUGGAGAGGAUGGACAGUGGACCUUAAAUAUUGAACUCUUAUUCUCAACAUGUUGGCGGAACGAUGUAAGGAGUAAAGUUUCUCCCCAGAAAUAAAGCAGUUAUAAAGACAUGGAA